UACGUAGGGUCCGAGCGUUGUCCGGAAUUACUGGGCGUAAAGAGCUCGUAGGUGGUUUGUCGCGUUGUUCGUGAAAACUCACAGCUUAACUGUGGGCGUGCGGGCGAUACGGGCAGACUGGAGUACUGCAGGGGAGACUGGAAUUCCUGGUGUAGCGGUGGAAUGCGCAGAUAUCGGGAAGAACACCCGUGGCGAAGGCGGUUCUCUGGGACGGUACUGACGCUGAGACGCGAAAGCGUGGGGAGCGAACAGG
rnacentral:rRNA from 1 species